rnacentral:rRNA from 1 species
AGCGUUGUCCGGAAUCACUGGGCGUAAAGGGCGCSUWKKWGGUUUGAUAAGGGUGUGGUGAAAGUCCGGGGCUCGACUCCGGAUCUGCCGUGCCGACUGUCAAACUCGAGGGCUGUAGAGGCAGACGGAAUUCCGGGUGUAGCGGUGGAAUGCGUARAGAUCCGGAGGAAGACCGGUGGCGAAGGCGGUCUGCUGGGCAGUUUCUGACACUGAGGCGCGACAGCGUGGGGAGCAAACAGGAUUAGAUACCCUGGUAGUCCACGCCGUAAACGAUGGGUACUAGGUGCCUGGGGGAGCGACCCUCUGGGUGCCGGCGCUAACGCAGGAAGUACCCCGCCAGGGGAGUACGACCGCAAGGUUG